CUCCUCCUCCUCUCCGUCCUCUCUUUCUGUCUCCUUUUCUUCCCUCCUGUCCCGCUGCCGUGCCGCUGCUCCAGCCUCGCAGCCUCUCCAGAAUCCAGCAGCCUCCCCCCCGCCACGGAGCCAAAGCCAAAAAAUCCUCGGGAAGGGGGGAGGAGAGAGACCCGGCACCACCUUUCGCAUCCUUCCACACCCUGGAGUGUGCGCGAAGGCGGAGGACCGCGGAGGGCAGCGCCGCCGGCCGGUGUCGGCCCGCCCCGGGAGCCGCAGGCAGCCUGGUCCCAAAUGAAGCUGACAGAUGGACCUGAACUCACCAAGGAAGGACAUCCAAUCUGAAAGUUUCUUCUCCUGAUCUCUUGUAUCUGGUCCUCAUCCUACUGGUGGUCACUGAUGCCCUCAGAUCCUCUUUCCCAGCAUGUUCUUCCCUGCUCCUCCCUGCGUGCCCAUGCAGGUGCCAGCACACUGUCUGGAAGGAGCUGAGGGGGAAAGAUGCAACUGCAAGAGAAAAGGAACACCACAAACUGCUGCCUUUCUCCUCUGCUUGUUAAUCACAUGCACUGCUACAGUCCUGGCAUUUUGAGAUCACUGUUCACAUCAAGACUGAAAGGAAACUAAUUACAAUCACAUUUUGGGGCUCUUGUUUAAAGCUCGCGUGGCGCUGACUGCAGCACAGGAGCCUUGACCUUUAUUUGUGAGCAUGAAAAUAAGGCAAAGAUGAAAGAUUGCUUUUCCUCCAGCUCAUAUGCCGGGAUCAAGAGGCCCUCUGAAGGAGGAAGAAUGUGGUAAGUCCCUCCACAGCCCUCUCUCCUCGCCUCCUCUCCCAUGCUGGCAGCAGAGGCCAGUAGUGCUAUGCAGAAGCUGUGCUCCACUGCAGGAGAGGUGAACGGGAGCACCACGGUGUUUUGCAGCUCUCCCUCGGGCUGCUGGAAGAACAUGCCAUGAAUUAGGAGGCCUGAGGUCAUUUUAACCCCAUCUAGAGGUUUUCAGUGAAGAGUUUGCAUUGCCUGGUCCAUGCUCAUGAGCUGAGGGAGGUAUUGGCACGU